CAAGGACUCAUUUAAGUUUACAGAGGUACUUGGUUUGCAAAGUCUGAGCAAGAUGAUUUCUGAUGCUGCCUGAUACCCCAGAACCCAAACUAAGUCCUAAGAAGUUACUAAGCUUCACUAGUCAGGUGAAGUCUCCAGGAUGAAUAGUUGAAGAAUUCGACAAAGUGGAAGAAUAACAAUACUAGGGGGCAUGUCUUGUUCUGCUCAGCUGACCCCCAGAUCCAGAUGCAGAAUGUACAGA